rnacentral:rRNA from 1 species
AUUGAACGCUGGCGGCAGGCCUAACACAUGCAAGUCGAACGAGUGGCGGACGGGUGAGAAAUGUCUGGGAAACUGCCAGGGGGAGGGGGAAAAAUACUGGAAACGGUAGCUAAUACCGCAUACCAUCGGAUGUGCACAGAUGGGAUUAGCUUGUGGGUGGGGUAACGGCUCACCUAGGCGACGAUCCCUAGCUGGUCUGAGAGGAUGACCAGCCACACUGGAACUGAGACACGGUCCAGACUCCUACGGGAGGCAGCAGUGGGGAAUAUUGCACAAUGGGCGCAAGCCUGAUACAGCCAUGCCGCGUGUAUGAAGAAGGCCUUCGGGUUGUAAAGCACUUUCAGUUGGGAGGCGUUACUCGCAGAAGAAGCACCGGCUAACUCCGUGCCAGCAGCCGCGGUAAUUC